GACGAACGCUGGCGGCGUGCUUAACACAUGCAAGUCGAACGGAAAGGCCCUGCUUUUGUGGGGUGCUCGAGUGGCGAACGGGUGAGUAACACGUGAGUAACCUGCCCUUGACUUUGGGAUAACUUCAGGAAACUGGGGCUAAUACCGGAUAGGAGCUCCUGCUGCAUGGUGGGGGUUGGAAAGUUUCGGCGGUUGGGGAUGGACUCGCGGCUUAUCAGCUUGCUGGUUGGGUAGUGGCUUACCAAGGCUUUGACGGGUAGCCGGCCUGAGAGGGUGACCGGCCACAUUGGGACUGAGAUACGGCGCAGACUCCUACGGGAGGCAGCAGUGGGGAAUAUUGCACAAUGGGCGGAAGCCUGAUGCAGCAACGCCGCGUGCGGGAUGACGGCCUUCGGGUUGUAAACCGCUUUCGCCUGUGACGAAGCGUGAGUGACGGUAAUGGGUAAAGAAGCACCGGCUAACUACGUG
rnacentral:rRNA from 1 species